GGAGGCUUCUUAAGGGGAUGAGCUGUUUCCCUGAAGAGCCCUAUGAAGACAGAGAAAGCAGAAGCUACACAGGUAUAUCUCCGUGCAGUUCAUACCCAGCCUUUGGUACUGCCUUUCUGUCAUCAGUUGGCUGUUUGCCUCAGCACAGUGGAAAUUCAUCAUAGAAAUGAACUCUGUCAUAUAUAGCAAUUUAGAAUACAGCCUGAAGCUCAGAGUGAUAAAGGAGGAUGGUUUUAUGCCCAUAAAUAUAUUUAAAGCUGAGCCUGGAAUGCACGGCCUGAUCUCAGCUCACUGCAACCUCCGUCUGCCCGGUUCAAGAGAUUCUUCAGCCUCCCGAGUAGCUGGGACUACAGGCAUGUGCCACCAUGCCCAGCUAAUUUUUGUAGUUUUAGUAGAGAUGGGGUUUCACCAUGUUGGCCAGGAUGGUCUUAAUCUCUUGACCUCAUGAUAUGCCCGCCUUGGCCUCCCAAAGUGCUGGGAGCCACUGCACCCAGCCUGUCAAAUAUUUUAAUAUGUGAAACAGUGAUAUCUGAAAGCACAUUGUGUUCUAUAAGGUCCUAUAAAAUAUUAAAUGUUAUUACUAUAAUUAUAAACCAAAUCUUCCUAGAAUCUAACAGACUAACAGGUAUUCACAGAGUAUGAGCUAAAAAGCAAUACAUCAAAAUAAUUGUUAAUUUGACCAUUUUUUUGUCAUCUUCAUUAAAGAAUAACUUUUAUUAGGAUGUAUUCUUCAUACGUUGUACCAACACCUAUGAAAUAUAAAUUAAAUAGUAUUGUGGUAAGCAGAAUAAUGGGCUCCCCCUUGUCCUAAUCACGAGAACAUGUGAGUAUGUUACUUUAUAUGAAAUAAAGGUCUUUGCAGAUAUGAUUAAAAUUAAGAA
rnacentral:lncRNA from 10 species